AACAUUUCCUGCAUGGCGUCUGGACCUAGUAACAUUUCCGGUACACCGCAGAUACGGCUGUGUUGUGAUGAAAGCGUUACGUUACCAGGAGAAAAAGCUUGCCGGGAAAGAGGCUCUCAAAUUUCUUCUGCAGGGAGAAGGUGAAGGUGAGCCAGCCCAUGUUGGAGGCCUGCCGGCCCUGCCAGAAGUACACCACGCACUGGAAGUCUUCCUCAGUCUGCCGCUCCUCAUCGUCCUCCCCCCUCCCACCUCCUCCACCUCCG
ensembl:lncRNA